CACUUCAUUAAGCUGAAGUGGUCUGGGUGCCUAUAGUGUAGUGUUAAGAAAAAAGUAGGAAGAGUCAGUUGGGUAAAGGUUGUAGGGAAUUUGGCGUAAUAAUUACAUAAUUUGAGUGGCUUAACCCGGCCUGUCUCACAUUAAUAGGAAAUAGGAGCUAUAAACAAAUGGCAACCUUGAUUUGACUUACUAAAUCCAGAGUUAAGUCCUACAACUUUGGGUGAUUUGGAGCAAAUAUAGUAUUACUUACUUGGCUCUAGUAUGGUUAAUUAACAAUUAGCAGAGCAGUCGGGUCCCAAUUAAUUUCCAUGUAGACUUGAAUCAUUGCACCUUAAUUGGCCAUGAGUUUCUUGCUGAUCAACCCAACUAAAUUGGACACUAUUGUUACACCAGAUUGGAAGUAAUAAUUUUUUAAGACCGUACACAAAUUGACAGCUCUCAGAUUUGCACUUUAGAAUUAUUGCCCAUCUAGUCUUCUCCAUCCAUCUUGUGAUUUAGUGAAUCCGGUCUAAGUCUUAUACUCCCUUAGUUGUUUUGUGCACUGGAUAGAGAAGAUGAGAAACCAUAGCUUUGAAAAGUUUGUCCAUGGACUGUACUUCUGCUUCUUCUGUCCUGGGGAGCAACAUAGACAAAAUGUGCAAUAGGGGCAAAAUGGACAGGCAAGAUAAAACUCCCUGUCUGUUGAGCAGGUUUAUUAUGACCUAUACCCAGCACAUUUAUGUGGACAGUACAAGAACUAACUAUUAGUUUUACUAAGUCCUUGAUAAUAACAAAGAUUAAACGUGAAGUUUAGAUGGAGUAGAGAGUAUCACAUUGGGAAUAAUGAAGUGGAGUGAAGGUCACCUCCAUCUGGUUCUCUCCAUUUUGCUCUGGGAUAUUCUUGUGUAGGUCUUAUUAUCUGCUCUCUAAUUGUGGCACAUUUAUUUGCCGACUAUGUAGUCUCUGCCUUUUGACACUGCCGAAAUCAGUCUAGCAACAAAUAAACAGAUGACCAAAAUAUUAAUUUGGUAGAAGUCUUUUAAACAAUAUAUUAAAUCCCCUUCCACAAGACAGACCACAGACAUCUCAACAAUUCCAUAUACAUUUAUAUCUGUGUGUCCAGUUUUGGAAAAGGAAGCUUUUAUAAUUUCUCAGUGGGUUUGUGGAACACCAGCAGUGGAUAUUUCUGAAGAAGGUCCGUAUAUAUUUCCUGGGUGAUUCUAUUCCUGUGAAUCUACUGGAAUUCAAAUGGUUUUUUUUUGUUUUUUUUUGUUUUGUUUUUUAAAUUUGGGGUAAAAAGCUUUUACAUUUUUUAAUAAAAGUAAUUUUAAAAAAACAUUGCAAGAAAAAAAAAAAAAAGGUAAUUGAUGUACAGACAAUGAAUUUUCUGGUGAAGGUAACAUUAAAUUACUCCUGGGGUGAGUGUGGUAAUUAUCAACAUAGGUUUGCUUUGCAAAAACCAUCUAUACGGACGGGAGUUCAUACAUCAUUAGCACAUUGACAAAGAAUGAAAUGUAACUGUAAAAUGGCACCAAAGUGUAUCUCAGUAAGCAGAAGCAAGAUAUUUUAAUGUGGCAAUUCAGAUGAAAGAUGCAUUAUUCUAAAAUCUAAGUGUGUCUCAAUCCAGUUUCUUCACUAAAGUGCAUACAUCCCAAAUCACAAAUGUUGAUAAACAAAUAUAAACCAUUAUGCUGCUGAAUGCUCCCAGUGGUUUAUGGGAGUUGUAUUCUGAGAAAAAGCAGGACCGCCAUAUUUAGCUGGAUAACACUCCUAAAAAAAGUUUCGAUAGUGAAUCAGUAUGUAGUCUAACACUACAAAAAGCUUGCCCUUAAUUUCAUCUCAUUUUUAGAUUUCAAAUUCACGUUAUGAAAUUUUAAAACGGCUUAAAAAUCUAUUACAUAAAGCAGUGCAUUAAUCAAGCGUAAUUAAAAUUAGCAUCAACUAUUUUUUUUUCUAAAUUGAUCUAGAAAUUAUGCAGCUAUAGAUAUGAUGUGAUGUAGUGUAAUCAUUACUUAAUUUCUGUUAAUUAAAUAUAAUAUAAAGAAAGUUUAUAUUUUUAGGAGGAGUGCAUUUGCAUACAUGCCAUGUGACUUCUUGGAAUUUUUAGAAGUGGCACCUGUCUUGAUUGUCUAUUAUCCCCACUUAUAAAUAUUACUAUAGAGGCAGAAUUGAUUUGGCUCUGGUGCGUUGAGUAAACACUGUAACUGGUAGGUCAUUUUGAAAUCACCUUUCUCACCUCAGGAGUAUUUGGAUAAAUUUCAUGCAGUGUCACUUUAUGGAUUCCACACCAGAAUCUUCCCAUGCGUACACACCCAGUUAUUAUUAAAUAAAUGGUUUUCUAGUUUUUAGCUAUUUAUAAUGUGUAGUUUUAUUAAAUAAGGAAAUAAAUAUGACAAAAAAAAGAACAAAUCAGUUUUUUAUUUUCCUUUUUCUAGCAAUCUGUUUUGUGUAUCCUUUCACAGGAUCCCUUUGUAUGCUUGCAUAUAUCCCCUUCUUUCCUGUAGUCUCCAUUGUAAAAGGGUAUGACGGAUUGUACAGGGGACUGUUUUAUCAUGUCUAAAUAAAAUGUCUGGUUUUGUUGCUUUUUAA